rnacentral:lncRNA from 1 species
CCCUUUCUUAAGGACGAUCCUAUCAAGGAAGAAUCUCCUCUGCCUUCAACCUCGGCCACUCCACCUCAGACGCCGUUGUAUUCUCCUCCACCACUUAGCAAGCCUAAGGUAUGAUCUAAUGAUCAGUCAUUAAUAUCUUAAUCAACUCAUGGUGGUCGAAGAAUUUAUAUUAGAUUUUGGAGAUCGAAUUUUCUUUAUUGUGUUUUAGUCAUGGUUAACUGAAUAUUAAAUAGCAAGAAUAUCAUACGGUAGACUUCAGAGAUUAAUCUUGGUUAUUAAAAAAAUAAAGGAAUAAAAGUCGUUAAUACGAUAAUAUCAUAAUUUCAUUAUGCAAGUGUGGGUUGAAUGAUUUGUCAAUUGUUUUAUAGGUGAGUACGAAGUUUGGAGAUCUUUUAGCGUUUAGCGGUCCAGCGCCCGAAAGAAUAAACGGGAGACUCGCUAUGGUAGGGUUCGUAGCGGCGAUUGCGGUGGAGCUUUCGAAGGGAGAGAACAUGUUUGCUCAAAUCUCCGACGGUGGAGUCGGAUGGUUUCUAGGAACAACGGCGUUGCUAACGUUGGCAUCGAUGAUUCCAUUGUUCAAGGGAAUAAGGGCAGAGUCAAAAUCCAAAGGGUUUAUGACGUCAGAUGCCGAGCUAUGGAAUGGUCGAUUCGCCAUGCUCGGCCUCGUGGCCUUGGCUUUCACUGAGUACGUCAAAGGCGGGACUCUUGUCUAAGUCUUUUUUUUCUUCUUUUUUGCAUUUCUUGUGUUACCCUUUAGCUAUGUUUUAAGGGAGAAUUUGGAGAAUAAUAAGUAAAUCAAAGUUUUGUUUUUAAUAUGAACUGAAAAACCUCAAUGCUUUAAAAACUGGGCCAGCAACCGAACGAAUAAGUCUUUGAGAGUAAUGGUUUAACCGAGUUCAUCCAGGUUCAACCGUAUUUUGUGUAUUUGAUAUCAUGAUAAGAUAUUUUUUCAGCUCCUAUCCAAUUCCGACAUCUCAAUUUGAUGAUGCCUGAUCUUUUUACCCAACAAAGUGUCAAUGUUUGGGUUCGCUUCCAUAAGCCAAAUCUAAAAUACAUAGAAAAAUCCAUCCAACACUUAAUUGUUCUUCAAAUGCACAUUUUUCUUUGCUUUGAGUAUUGAUGCAUUUAGCUCAUCAUAAACAUGAAGACCCCAAAGAUACAUCCUUAUUUACCAAACAUAAGAGAUAUACAUCUUGUCAUCCUUAGCAGUGAUUAAUUCAUGUAUAACACACAUAUACACUAGGCUCACCAUGUCCAAAAAUGAACACUUUGUUACAAACUUUAAGGUGCUCCUCCUUAGUUGUCUUAUGUUGAUCAUUCCAUUUCACAUAAGCAUCCUACUCCAUAACCCUUAUCAUCCUUUUAAUUUUCAAAGUCUAUAUUGGGUUCAUCUUUACAUUUGAGUCCAGUCACAAUAUGACAUUAUUGCAUUGAAAACCAAAUAGACCUCCUUGCAAACAGAAACCAUAACUCGUGUAGCUUGAAAAAAAUUAUUUGUUUGUAUAUAAAGCUGUGAAUAACCUUCCCUGAGUAUCCAAGAUUGUGUUCAUUGAUUGCCACAAUAAUACCAAAGACAUAGUCUUUCAACACUUCGUUGUACUCUUUAAGAUCCAUCUUCAAUAUCUUUAGAAUCGUCAAUCUGCAUCUGUUGUUAAUCUUAUCAACAAGAAAUUCAAAAUUUUCUUCAAUUAUGUGUUUUGACAAUUAGUAAGUUAUUCCUAUAAACCAUGAAAAUAAAGAUUUCGUUCAAGGAAUUCAUAUACAUCCAAAAUGAAAAACAAAUUGUAUUGAACCACCACUACAAGAAAACAAAGUCAUUUCUGACAGAAUUUCUGACGGAAGAAAUAUUCGUUGGACAUUUCUGACGAAAUUCUGACGGAUUUACAAGAAAUAUGAAAAUUUACCAUUCGUCGGUAUUUCGUCAUAUUUCCGAUGAAAUUUCAUUCGUCAUAAAUAAUCGACGAAAUACCGACGAGUCCCGAGGAAGAUUAAACUAUUUAGGGUAUAGAUUUGAGGUUUAUGCUUUCGUCGGAAAUUCAUCAGAAAUUUCUGACGAAAUAAAAAAAUUCCGUAGGAAAUUCGUCAAAAUUUUCCGACGAAUUUUUAACGAAUCUAUUCUUAGGAAAUUUCCGACGAAUUUCCGACGGAUUGCAUAACAUUCGUAGGAUUUUCGUCACAUAUUUCCGACGAAUUUCCGACGAAAUUGAGUUUUAGAUAUGAAAUAUUCAAAAUAAAUGUCAAACCGGAUAUAUUAAGUGAUAAAUAUGAUGUGAGUUAAUAAUACCUCAAUUAUUUAAGCUAUAUAUAUAUAUAUAUAUAUACUCUUGCGAUUGAUGCAUCGACGGAUACAUAAUCUUUGUCGUUAACACUUAUACACUUAAGCAUAUACUUUCCGGUGAUCCAUCUUAUAAUCUUUAAUUUGUGUUUUUUUAAAUGUUUUUAAACAUUAUGAAGAUUUUAAACCCCUAAAAGUCAUCAAUUUAUUAUCAGUGGCUAUUAUCGUUCUAUUUUUUCUAUGUUUUGAACCCCCAAUACGUAAUUCGUCGGAAAUGCGUAGGAAAUUUUGGAGGAAUUUAUGACAAAUUUCCGACGAAUAUAUUUCUGACGAAUUGCCGACGAAAAUUAUAUAUUCCGACGAAUUUCCGACGAAAAUGGUAUAUUCGUCGGAAAAUUAAAUUUGCCCGGGAAAAAGCCCGCCUAAUUUUUCGCAAAGAACCAAAAUAAAAAAUUCCGACGGAUUUUCGACGAACACUUUUCGUCAGAAGUUUUUAAUAUAAAAGCGUAAACCCCUUAUUCUUCCCCAUUUCUCCUCUCUCUCUCUCUAAACACACACAAAUGCUCUCAGAUUUUCUCUCUCUAAUCUGGCGAUUCUAAGUCUUAAACUCCUCAAAUCUACCUCAUAAAAAUUAAAUAUAUUUUAUUUUCUUAUAAUUUUAUGUAAUUAAUUAUAUUAAUAUGUUUCUUUUUUCAAGGUGGCUCCUAAAAAGAUGGAACUGACGGUAUGAAUAAGCUUCAUCAAUGAAGCCACAAGGACGACUUCAUCCUACUCUUCGAGACGGAACCCAUAGAUGAAGUACGAGACUCUCCAUGAAGAAACACCUCCAACAACUACUUCGACGGCGUUCUCCCUUAGCUUUUUAUUUUUCAAUUUUUUUGUUUUCUAUUAUUAAUUUGAAUACUAUUUUAUGACAUUUUUAUAUUUUUUUAAAAAAAUAUUUUAUUUUAUAAAUUAUAUAUUUUUAUUUUGAAUAUUUCAUAAUAAUAUAAUAAUAUGACAAUGAGAUGUAAAUUUCUCGUAAAGAUUACGAGGAUUUUACAAGUACUUCCUUGUAAAAUCCUCGUAAUCUUUACGGGAAAUUUACUAGGAAAUACUUGUAAAUUCCUCGUAAAUAUUACAAGGACUUUACAUUAAAAGACUUGUAAAUUCGUCGUAAAUUGUACAAGUACUUAAAGACGACUUUACAAGGAAACUAUACGAGUCUUUUACGAUGAAGCGUAACUACGAAACUACGACGAAAUACUCUCUUUCGCUUUUACAACGAAUUUAUUUCGUCGUAAAUGUUACAUGGAAGUUACGACGAAUCUUGCAUUACGACGGACGUUUUACAACGAAACGCUAUUCCUUGUUAAUUCGUUGUAACCCUUCUAUUACAACGAAUUAACAAGGAAUAUGACCCUUGUAAUAAAUAUGUUUUUUUGUAGUGUUUUUUUUUUUACUUUAUAAAUUGUAUUAAGAAAAUAAAUUAGAAUAUUAUAUAUUUUACAGAAAUUAAAAUUCUAAAGAGACAAAAAAUUUAGAAAAAAUAUUAGAGUGACAAACUUAAGUCGAAAGUGUCUCAUUUUUCCAAUUUUCCAUAACUAAACAAGGAUGGAUAAUAUCUCUUUAGUAGGAACAUCGAGAUUUAGCUCAGAAUUCGAUGGUUUCAAAUUUUCUUCUAUGUCAAAUGAUUUCAUUCCUGUUUUCAAAAAUAAAUGAUAUCAUUCCUAUUUUUCUCCCAACUGUGGUGGCAUCAUGAUAGUACAACAAAAAGAAAAUAAAUUUACCAUAUAAAAUAAAUAAAUAAAAAUUUAGAAAAAUACUGGACCUAUCAUUCACCUUUACCCACUCUAUAAAUUAGAUUGAUCCUGAGUCUAUCUCAUUCACUACUUCUCUUUCUACUCCGUCUUUCGCUUGUACAAAUCUAAUCAGAAAUGGCAACGGCGUCGUUUAGCAUGCUGUCAGUGUUCGCCGCUCCUUCCGGUGGAUGGGGCUCUCGCAACAUGAGAAACACAAACCAAGUCUUCUCCAAUAGGAAUCCUUCAGGUAUAUACGUAAUUACAGUGCAUCCUAUUAUACAGCAAAUCUUCCCUACGUUACUUGUUUGACUUUUUUUUAAAUUCUGACCAUUCGUUGCGUUAACCCUUUCUUAAGGACGAUCCUAUCAAGGAAGAAUCUCCUCUGCCUUCAACCUCGGCCACUCCACCUCAGACGCCGUUGUAUUCUCCUCCACCACUUAGCAAGCCUAAGGUAUGAUCUAAUGAUCAGUCAUUAAUAUCUUAAUCAACUCAUGGUGGUCGAAGAAUUUAUAUUAGAUUUUGGAGAUCGAAUUUUCUUUAUUGUGUUUUAGUCAUGGUUAACUGAAUAUUAAAUAGCAAGAAUAUCAU